AGAUGCAGGGGGCCGACCCACCUCAAUAUUAUGCCGACAAGUAAAGGAAUCUUGACUUCGUGAAAGGCUGUGAGUUGUGACGACUGCUGUUCCGAGACCACUGAAUGAAAUCUGGAAUAUUCCCAAUGUGUGCCACUUCCAUACAAAAAAGUUCCAGUCCCGCAAGAGUCAUGACCGUCCUCACUCACCAGUUAUGACUGUAGUGAGCUCCAUCAACAGUCCAGGGUAAAGUCGGUCUGUCUUGUUACUACAUGCUACUUGACUGUCUGGAGCCAUGGAUGCUGACCUCAACAUGCUAAAUUACAUUGAUGGUGAUGGUGACAAGACCUUCAUAAGGU